GCAGCCGCCACGGGAAUACAGAGGGUGCGAGCGUUAAUCGGAUUUACUGGGCGUAAAGCGUGCGUAGGCGGCUUUUUAAGUCGGAUGUGAAAUCCCUGAGCUUAACUUAGGAAUUGCAUUCGAUACUGGGAAGCUAGAGUAUGGGAGAGGAUGGUAGAAUUCCAGGUGUAGCGGUGAAAUGCGUAGAGAUCUGGAGGAAUACCGAUGGCGAAGGCAGCCAUCUGGCCUAAUACUGACGCUGAGGUACGAAAGCAUGGGGAGCAAACAGGAUUAGAUACCCGCGUAGUCCCUGUCUCUUAUAA
rnacentral:rRNA from 1 species